CCCUUAGAUGUCCUGGGCUGCACGCGCGCUACACUGACAUGUUCAACAAGUUUCUCCUAGUUCGACAGGACUGGGAAAUCUUUGAACGCAUGUCGUGAUAGGGAUAGAUCAUUGCAAUUAUUGAUCUUGAACGAGGAAUUCCUAGUAAACGCGAGUCAUCAGCUCGCAUUGAUUACGUCCCUGCCCUUUGUACACACCGCCCGUCGCACCUACCGAUUGAAUGUUUCGGUGAAGAUUCCGGAUAGGACUGAUUUGAUUUAUUUCAUUUCUGACCUAAAAGCUAUCUAAACCUCAACAUUUAGAGGAAGGUGAAGUCGUAACA
rnacentral:rRNA from 1 species